UACGUAGGGACCAAGCGUUGUUCGGAUUUACUGGGCGUAAAGGGCGCGUAGGCGGCGUGACAAGUCACUUGUGAAAUCUCUGAGCUUAACUCAGAACGGCCAAGUGAAACUGUUGUGCUAGAGUGCAGAAGGGGCAAUCGGAAUUCUUGGUGUAGCGGUGAAAUGCGUAGAUAUCAAGAGGAACACCUGAGGUGAAGACGGGUUGCUGGGCUGACACUGACGCUGAGGCGCGAAAGCGUGGGUAGCAAACGGG
rnacentral:rRNA from 1 species